GGAAGUAAAAGUCUAACAAGGUUUCCGUAGGUGAACCUGCGGAAGGAUCAUUAUUGUAUAACCGAGGUGCGAGGGCUGUCGCUGACCCGAAAGGUCGUGCACGCCCGAGUGCCCUCACACACAUCCAUCUCACCCCUAUGUGCACCACCGCGUGGGUCCCCCUUUGGCUUGUUCGGAGGGGGGCUUACGUUUUCACACAAACUUUGUAUGCAGUGUAGAAUGUAUUUUUUGUUUUUGCGAUCACGCUAUCAAUACAACUUUCAACAACGGAUCUCUUGGCUCUC
rnacentral:misc_RNA from 1 species